AGGGUUUGAUUAUGGCUCAGGAUGAACGCUGGCGGCGUGCCUAACACAUGCAAGUCGAGCGAAGCAUUUUAAAGGAAGUUUUCGGAUGGAAUUUGAAAUGACUGAGCGGCGGACGGGUGAGUAACGCGUGGGUAACCUGCCUCAUACAGGGGGAUAACAGUUAGAAAUGACUGCUAAUACCGCAUAAGCACACAGUACCGCAUGGUACAGUGUGAAAAACUCCGGUGGUAUGAGAUGGACCCGCGUCUGAUUAGCUUGUUGGCGGGGUAACGGCCCACCUAGCCUACGAUGGAUAGGGGUUCUGAGAGGAAGGUCCCCCACAUUGGAACUGAGACACGGUCCAA
rnacentral:rRNA from 1 species